rnacentral:rRNA from 1 species
AUGAACGCUGGCGACGUGGAUAAGGCAUGCAAGUCGUGCGGCCUGCUUUGGUCUCGCAAGAGAUCGAAGUAGGUAGCGGCAAACGAGGUAGUAAUACAGAGGAACAUACCCCAGAGUCGGGGAUAACCCGUCGAAAGACGGACUAAUCCCCGAUAGUCUCGCAAGAGUAAACCCGCAAGGGGCUCUGGGAUUGGCCUCUGGGCUAUCAGCUAGUUGGUAGGGUAAUGGCCUACCAAGGCUAUGACGGCUAGGGGGGGUGAGAGCCUGUUCCCCACCGAUGGUACUGCGACACGGACCAUACACCUACGGGUGGCAGCAGCCGAGAAUCUUCCGCAAUGGGCGAAAGCCUGACGGAGCGACGUCGCGUGGUGGAUGAAGUCCUUCGGGACGUAAACACCUUUUGUCGGGGACGAAAUUUUUGACGGUACCCGAAGAAUAAGGGGUUGCUAAACUCGU